rnacentral:lncRNA from 1 species
AACAGGGGAUGUUUUCAGUGUGGGGCUAAAGGUCAUUUCAAGCGUGAUUGCCCCCAGUUAAACCAGAACCAGAAUCGCAACAACAACAAUAACAACAAUCAGGGAAAUGGCAACAACAAUAAUGGUGGGAACAACAACGGCAAUGAAGCAAGGGGUCGUGCUUUUGUGCUGGGUCGAGGUGACGCAAUGAAUGAUCCCAAUGUGGUUAUGGGUCGUUAGAUAUAUGGAGCUUGCACAGGGAGGGGCAGGUCGUUGUGGAGCAUGGAUCGUGGAUGCCAUGUUAAAACAUUUAAACACUUGA